rnacentral:rRNA from 1 species
CCAGACUCCUACGGGAGGCAGCAGUGGGGAAUAUUGGGCAAUGGGCGAAAGCCUGACCCAGCAACGCCGCGUGAAGGAAGAAGGCUUUCGGGUUGUAAACUUCUUUUGACAGGGAAGAGCAGAAGACGGUACCUGUCGAAUAAGCCACGGCUAACUACGUGCCAGCAGCCGCGGUAAUACGUAGGUGGCAAGCGUUGUCCGGAUUUACUGGGUGUAAAGGGAGCGCAGGCGGCCUGGCAAGCCUGAUGUGAAAUACCGGGGCCCAACCCCGGGGCUGCAUUGGGAACUGCCAGGCUGGAGUGCCGGAGAGGCAGGCGGAAUUCCUAGUGUAGCGGUGAAAUGCGUAGAUAUUAGGAGGAACACCAGUGGCGAAGGCGGCCUGCUGGACGGUGACUGACGCUGAGGCUCGAAAGCGUGGGGAGCAAACAGGAUUAGAUACCCCGGUAC